rnacentral:lncRNA from 1 species
UUUUGAUAAAGCACAAGUAUCUGAAGAAGUGUUAUAAGAAGAGAUUUCAGUUGCGAGCGGCAGUCGUUGCUAGGACAUUUACUGAGCCUUUAGCUCCCUAUAGAGAACAGCAUCAUUACAAGCAUCCAGGUCUCCAAAGCCAUGCGCGUCUUCACAGCUGCCAGUACACUCGUACUGCUCCUGCUUGCGCUUUCUCGUGCAGUGUCCUCGCGAUCACUGAUGCCGAUGACACUCCAAAGUGGGCUCUCCUCGACAGGAUCUUCCAUGGGGGGUGAAGGUACAGAACUUGAAGAAAGGUCUCUCGCCGAAAGGAACCUAGCCACAGAGCGGCUCUUACCAGAAGAACGCUCCAACAUGGAGUCGCCCCUGGUUGCGUAUCCACCCUUCAAGUGAAGAUGUUUGUCAGAAGCUCCUAAUGUUCGCAAAAAUUUACUGCGAAAACCCUCAGGGUGCCCUUGACCCAUAAAUAAAUAGUAUUGCCCGUA